GAGACUUACCACACCAGCGCCAUACCCUUUGGUUAUUUUUCUCCCAGACAGAUGAGACAACCUCUGCGUGACCCUGGCCAGGCCCAAGGGAAAGAGUAAUAUCCACUCUUCUGUCCACAGCCACAACAUCUACAUUAGUGGCCUCCUCUAGCUCCAGAGUCUCAAAGUCCCACUACUCAAAGACAUCGGGGGCUGGACAGAUACCUGGUGUGAUAAAGAGAGAGAAAGAAAGAGAAAGACCAAAAAGUGAGGGUGUGCAGCGUCACCUCCUGCCCACUGGGAGGCAGUGAAGCACACCGGGAUGAGGAAGGCGUCACUGCGGAUGGUGCUGCAGGACUGGGGGAAUCACCCGCAGAAGCUGCUGUACACCGUCUGGACCAGGGUACUGGGGAACUCCUCGAGGAAAUACUACUAUUUAGAAUAUGAUGUUAUAAUAUACUGUAUGAUAUCAAUAUGGAAAAUGGUUUGAUCAUAUAGGCCACAGGUAUCCUAGUGGUUAUGAGCAUUGGGCCACUAACCGGAAGGUUGCUGGUUUGAAUCCCUGACUAGGUGAAAAAUCUGUUGAUGUGUGUCCUUGAGCAAGGCAACACUAGUUUCUCUGGAAAAGAGCAUCUGCUAAGUAACUCAACUGUAAACAUAAAAAACACUGUGCUCAGUUGAAUCGUACAAUACUGAAUGUUGUGUGCGGGAUUAUUCCUUAUCAUUGUACACAGGAGAGGAACAACUACAGGUUCCACGUCAGUAGACUGCACUGCAGGGAUCAUCAACUAGAUUCAGCAGCGGACCGAUUUACUAAAAUCUUGAGAGGAUAUUUUUCCACACAGAUAUGAUAGUUGACAAAAAAAAACAAUCAGGGGCCUCCCGGGUGGCGCAGUGGUCUAGGGCUGCCACCAGAGACCCUGGGUUCGCGCCCAGG